GCUUCCCGGCUCCCCGGCUACCCUUUUCUCCUGCGCUUCCCCCUUCUCCCCUUCCUUCUCCUUGCCGAGCCCCUCCUCUUCCUUCGUUUUUCCCCUCCGUGCCGUAAACCUCUUCUCCGUUUCCCUCCGCCGCAUAUUCCUCCCCUCCUCCUCCUCUUUCCUCUCCUCCCGGCUGCCUUUCCCGCCUCUGGCCGGGAGUCCUCUCCACGCCCUGCCCCCCAACCUGGUGGCUCUUAGGUCAAAGCGGUGGCUUGGCGCCGAGCAAGGGUGAUUCUCAGGACCCCGGCUGGGCCGGCUGGUUCGGGCUUGCUCAACCCUUGCGCCCCCCACCCCCACCCCCCGCUCCCACCCGACCGACCUCCAAACGCUGGUCUCUGAGGGCACAGACCCUUCCCUUUCCCUCUGCACCCUCUAGGUGAUUUUAUCCAAUCUCAUAGCUUAAGUAGACCUAUGUUCUUGUGAUUCCCAGAUUUAUAUUUCAAGCCAAGACCUCUCUUCUAAUCUCCAGAUUCCUACAUCCAGCAGCCCGUUUGAUUAUGCCGCUUUUUUGCAUCUCAGAUUUUAGACGGGUGUACGCGUGUGUCCGAACUCAGCUAAUGUGCAGUCAAGAUCUGGGCGUUUCACCUUGAAUGUAAAUUUUAGAUCAAAAGAAAAAAGCUAGACAUAAAUUGUAUGCGUGCUGAGGUGAAUUCUGAGGAAAGUGCAUUGAUGCCCGCAAUUUAAACGCAUUACUGAAGUAAGAUGGGCUGAUAGAGGCAUGAAUAGAUGAUAUGGUAAGAUGUUAAACUUAGGCGAUGGGGAUAUGGGUGUUGCUUGUAAAACUCUUUCCAGUUUGCUCUGAAAUUCUUCACUAUAGAAGGUGGGGAAAAUGUCACGUGGAAGACAUAUUUACAUGUGCAACACCCUAUUUCCCCACCCCCCAGGUUUCUUCACCAUAUCAAUAUUUACUGUUUUGGUAAAUCUGCAAGUUCCUGAAGCCAGCAAAAUUAUGUUUCUCUCCUAACACUCUCACAGCCUUUUAUUCUCCAUUCAAUCCAUUAGCAAGUCUGAGCUAUUCUACCUUCAAAAUAUGUUCAAUCCCUGUUUCUCACCGUUGGUAUUGCUAGAGCAAACCAUUAUCUCUUGCCUCAGCUACUGCUCUGGUUCCCUAACUAGGAGAGUGCUUCUUGGGUCCUCCUACAGUCACUUCUCCCCAGCAGUCAAAGUAUUAUUUUUAAAAUGUAAAUAAGAUCUGAUUACUCUGCUGAAAACCCUCCAAUGGCUUCGUGUUACACUUUGAAAAAAUUCAACGACUUAACCUGACCUGCUUCGCCCUGCACAGAUGUGGGUCCUGCUUCUCUUUCCAAGGCUGUCUUGAUACCCAAACCCUUCUAAACACAGUUCCCUAAUCACGGUAGCCCUCUAUUCUUCCCUACUUCUGGAAUUUAUCACCCUCAUGUGAUGCUGAUGGAAGAGUUCCCCAGGCCACGCUUUGUAGCUUGCUUGCUUUUUCAUGUAUCAACUACCAUCUACUUCUACACAGAACCUACAACGUCAAGAGUGAGCCCUGGCAGGGCGCAGUGGCUCACACCUGUAAUCCCAGCACUUUGGGAGACUGAUGUGGAAGGAUCAAUGAGCCCAGGUAUUGGAGAAUCGGAGACUAGCCUGGGCGAUAUGGCGAAACUCCAUCUCUACAAAAAAUACAAAAAUUAGCCGGGUUUGGUGGUGUGCAACUGUAGUCCCAGCUACUCAAGAGGCUGAUGCAGGAGCAUCUCUUGAUCUGGGAGGUUGAGGCUGCAGUAAGUCAUGAUCUCCCCAGUGCAUUCCAGUCUGGGUGACAGAGCAAGGAGAUCCCGUCUCGAAAAAAAAAAGAAGUGUAUCCUAAUGUAAACUGUGGCUUUGAGGCCGGGAGCGGUGGCUCACCCAGCACUUUGGGAGGCCGAGGACGGCAGAUCAUCUGAGAUCAGGAGUUUGACACCAGACUGACCAACGUGGAGAAACCCCGUCUCUACUAAAAAUACAAAAUUAGCCGGGCAUGGUGGCACAUGCCUGUAAUCCCAGCUAAUAUGGAGGGUGGAGCAGGAGAAUCGCUUGAACCUGGGAGGCGGAGGUUGCGGUGAGCCGAGAUCGUGCCGUUGCACUCCAGCCUGGGCAACAAGAGCAAAACUCUGUCUCAAAAAAAUAAAAUGAAAAAAUAAACUAUGGCUUUGAAUGAUGUAUCAGUGUAGGUUCGAUAGUGGUAACAAAUGUACCACCGUGUCGCAGGAUGUUUGAUAGUGGGAGAAGCUGUGCGUUUGUGGAGGCAGGAGGUGCUUGGGAACUCUGAAGUUCACAGUACUGCUCUAGGCCAGGCGCGGUGGCUCACGCUUGUAAUCCCAGCACUUUGAGAGGUCAAGGCAGGCGGAUCUCUUGAGGCCAGGAGUUCAAGACCAGCCUGGCCAACUUGACAAAACCCCGUCUCUACUAAAAAUACAAAAAUUAGCCGGAUGUGGUAGCACACACCUGUAAUCCUAGCCACUAGGGAGGUUGAGUCACGAGAAUCCCUUGAACCCGG
rnacentral:lncRNA from 10 species